UCAUCGGAUUUUCUCAAAUCCACGAACCCGUAUAACGCAACAAUAU
rfam:Stegodyphus mimosarum contig63629, whole genome shotgun sequence.